ACGGGGUGCAGCAGGCGCGAAAACUUUGCAAUGUGCGAAAGCACGACAAGGUUAAUCCGAGUGAUUUGUGCUAAACGAAUCUUUUGUUAGUCCUAGAACCACUAACGAAUAAGGGGUGGGCAAGUUCUGGUGUCAGCCGCCGCGGUAAAACCAGCACCUCAAGUGGUCAGGAUGAUUAUUGGGCCUAAAGCAUCCGUAGCCGGCUCUGUAAGUUUUCGGUUAAAUCUGUACGCUUAACGUACAGGCUGCCGGGAAUACUGCAGAGCUAGGGAGUGGGAGAGGUAGACGGUACUCGGUAGGAAGGGGUAAAAUCCUUUGAUCUAUUGAUGACCACCUGUGGCGAAGGCGGUCUACCAGAACACGUCCGACGGUGAGGGAUGAAAGCUGGGGGAGCAAACCGGAUUAGAUACCCGGGUAGUCCCAGCUGUAAACUAUGCAAACUCAGUGAUGCAUUGACUUGUGGUCAAUGCAGUGCUGCAGGGAAGCCGUUAAGUUUGCCGCCUGGGAAGUACGUACGCAAGUAUGAA
rnacentral:rRNA from 1 species